CCGCAGUACGCUGUGCGGCGUGCUUAACACAUGCAAGUCGAACGAUGGCUUUUGUGCUUGCACAAAAUGAUUAGUGGCGAACGGGUGAGUAACACGUGAGUAACCUGCCCUUAACUUCGGGAUAAGCCUGGGAAACCGGGUCUAAUACCGGAUACGACCUCCUGACGCAUGUCAUGGGGGUGGAAAGCUUGAUGCGGUUUUGGAUGGACUCGCGGCCUAUCAGCUUGUUGGUUGGGGUAAUGGCCCACCAAGGCGACGACGGGUAGCCGGCCUGAGAGGGUGACCGGCCACACUGGGACUGAGACACGGCCCAGACUCCUACGGGAGGCAGCAGUGGGGAAUAUUGCACAAUGGGCGAAAGCCUGAUGCAGCGACGCCGCGUGAGGGACGAAGGCCUUCGGGUUGUAAACCUCUUUCAGCAGGGAAGAAGCGAAAGUGACGGUACCUGCAGAAGAAGCGCCGGCUAACUACGUGCCAGCAGCCCGGUAAUACGUAGGGGGGGGGGGGGGAUGCGGAAUUAUUGGGCGUAAAGAGCUCGUAG
rnacentral:rRNA from 1 species